rfam:Caloramator quimbayensis strain TSBA 833 genome assembly, contig: Ga0105845_123
GAGUUCUUUAAAUCAGUCCUGUGAGGCUGGUAAGAUGGUAAAUGAUAUAUUAAGCUAUGUUUGUAACUUCUUACCAGUUGGUAAGAAGUUUUUUUAU